AUGACCUAUACAGGGGAGAAAGCCUCAGACACUCCACCUGGUGACACACCCAAGGCUGGCAUACAAAGCAAAGAAAAAGUGGACGCACAGACGGAUAUCCCAACCACCAGCGCAAAGGAAACAAACGAUGACGACCAUGCCAAAGAACAGCAAGGAGUACAGACAGAACAAACUAAAAAACAAGGGCAAAUGCUGACUAAAAUAGUACCCAGUACACCAUCAUCAAAGACCAACGCGAUGCAAGAAACAUGUGAGAGCACCAACAUUCAAGGCAAACAAACACAACAACACAGGGGAAUGGAACAAGCAGAAGAUGUUCUUCCAACAACAGACAACCUAACCGCCGUAGACCAAGCCGGAAAACCUUCGCUGUCCGGGCAAGAAAUAACAGAGAUGGCAACGUCCACGCAAAACAUCGAAAAGCCACAAGACAAAAACGACGACACUACGGAGGUCCAAAAAGCUCCACUCACCGAAGAAAAGGUCGAAGAGGCAGCACCGGCGGAAACGACUGAAAAGAAACCUCAACAGGACACGCACGCAGACACAAGUAAAGAAGCAAAGGGCCACAGUGCGUUGGAAAACCAUGCGGCAAACAUUCCAGAGAAAGAGUCAGACAGCAGCGAGAAAAAAGUCACACCAUCAGACAAGAAACAUUGUGCUGUAAAAGAUGUUGCCGCCACAAACACGGCGGUAACCCAAGGCAGCACUCAGACAAAACGUGAACCGUUGAUCAUACAAAACCUGGCCAUCGAAGAAGGGACAAAGGACAAAGGGAUCGAACACCUGUACAACAACGUCAUGACAACAAAUAAGGACAAAGGGCACGAGAUUUUAAUAAAUACAGAGACGACAACAGUAAUAGUCAGCCACAUGGCACAAAGCUUCGACAUUCGAAAGCCAGUGCGCAGCGAAACCAUGGCAGUCAUGCUACAGAUGAUGAAAAAGCAACUCAGGGGCACAAAGAGAAAGAUUCUAUCAACAUACAACACCGCAUCAAUACGCAUGGCCAACCAUGAAGAUCCAUUGGAGUUGAAAAAUAAAUACGAAGCACACAUCAGAGACAAGACAAUUCCUAAAAGGCUUAAAAGAUUCCUUGAUCUGGAAGAAGGAGAGCAACUACAAGAUUUCGACAUGGAACAAGUCCCAGAGUUGAGAAAGAAAAUUCUCUAUCAAAUAUUCUACCAAUACAGAGAUACGGCCGCACUGUCAUUAAUCAACUAUACCGCAGAUAUGCUGAAACCUGAGGUCGAUAUGGAAAAUAGUGAAAUGGAACGAAUACAUUGUGACAUAAUUCAACAAGAGAUUCGUCCAACUCCCGAGCACAUUAGGACAAGCGCUCAAGAGAUAAAAGUUAUUGACAUUAAUGACACAAGCACCGAUGAGGAGAAAGAAGAUUAUCAUUUGAGCAACAAGGAUACCACCAAGGUGUCUGAAGAAGCACUCAAGGAAGAACAAGCCCAGAAAGAUCAUGGUUUACAUAGGGAACAACACGCGCAGCCAGACACUGAUUUACAAAAGGAAGAUGAAUGGAAAGAUCCGCCGAUAGAACCAGACAGACCACCCCCAGAUAAAAACAACAAAGGCAUAACACGCUCUCCUUUAGAAGUGGAUAACAUGACAAAGACCGUACCAACUCGCCAACAACAGCUUUCCAAACAGGACAUGAACCCUAUUGGCGAAGAUCGCAUACCAAGAACAUCACCAAAGGCAAAACAUGCACAAGAAGAAAAGAAGGAGAAAGGAAAGAUUUUAUCAGAAAAGAUACUUCAAAAGAGGAAAUACGAUGCUGAAGUCUCAAUAGAACCGAGCGUCAAAAACAACAACACACAAAAGGACACACCAACAACUGGGCAGCUUAACGAGCAGGCACAGUUCGGUCACGACAAGAAAAGGAGAAGGCAUCUUGCAAGAGUGCAGACAAGUUCCCCAAAACCCUCGACGAUUCAAUCACACGAGAUCAUCUCAGCAAACAUAAUCUCAACUAAGAGGCCAUUCAAGCGAGCAAGCAAGGAAAUUGAGAAAGUCAAUGCUCCAGCACUUGUUCUAGGAGAUUUCAUUUACAAAGAAAAGGCCAUGCAACUCUAUAGAUAUCUGAUGAGCCAACAAGGACAGAAACAAUGCAGACAAGAACAACUAUAUAAAACCUCAAAGAGCGAAGGCUACAUUUCAGGAAAAUCCUUCAUGGAACAAGUAGGGAAAGAAUACGCACAAAUGGAGGGCUCCAUGCUAAACGCAUUACUGGAUGAAAGGACAGAACAGAAACAGUUCAACCUAGACGUCACAACUGUACACCCUACAGAAUUCGCAAAUAUGGUGCUAGGUCUCAAUUAUAAAAGAGGGGAGCUAUCAGAAUUCAACAAAGACGAUGCACUACAAGCAUUUGAACAACUUGUGCGAGGUAAAAAUAUCGUGCACUCGAAGAUGAUCAUGAUACCUCAUCACACGGACAAGCACUACACGCUAUAUGUAAUGAACAAGUACAGAGAUAGCAUCGACAUCCUUGACUCACUAAACUAUGUAAACUACACCGAUUUGUCUUGGAGUAAACACCAUGUGCAUCGAGCAGAACUGAUGAGAAGGAUGUCGGUGUUGAUGAACAAGUACCACCAACUAAAAGAUAAGAACGAACCAGACUGGGCAAGGAUAGCAGAAAGGCCUCACAGGAUCUGCACACCAAAGCAAAAAGGAACACAAUGCGGACACUUCACGACGCAAUUUGCAAAACACUGGAAUGGGAAAGAACUGGUCAAGGACAGAGAGGAUUUUCAUCACAACAAGGUGGAUGCAGAACAGAUACCAAAGUACGUAUACACACUCAUAUUCGGUAAAACCAACCAAAAUAAAGCACCAUCAACUUCCUGA
rnacentral:rRNA from 1 species